rnacentral:misc_RNA from 1 species
GAUACAUUACCUUUCAUUACUUUAAAAAACCUUCAUGCACUCCAUCCAAACAUGCUUUAGUCUUGAUUGCCCUUUGCAUUUCUUCAUUCCACAAGCAAACCUCUUUUGAAGGUAGUCCAUUGCGCAUUUCUUCAUUCCACAAGCAAACCUCUUUUGAAGGUAGUCCAUUGCCUUUUAACUCAUCUAGCACCUCUAUUGCCCUAUUCCUUGUUUCAGUUUCCAUCUUUGUCCGCAGGUAUUUGUUUGUGUCAAAAUUCCAUGUUCAGUGCUUUAGGAGCUCAACCUUGAAUCUCAGUUGCUUUUCUCCUUUUAAAUUCCACCGCCUUGCUCUUGUAUAUGUGUUUUGAAAAUAACACUCAUACAAAAUAAAGAA